AGACUCCUACGGGGAGGCAGCAGUGGGGAAUAUUGCACAAUGGGCGCAAGCCUGAUGCAGCGACGCCGCGUGAGGGAUGACGGCCUUUCGGGUUGUAAACCUCUUUCAGCAGGGAAAGGAGCGCAAGUGACGGUACCUGCAGAAGAAGCGCCGGCUAACUACGUGCCAGCAGCCGCGGUAAUACGUAGGGCGCAAGCGUUGUCCGGAAUUAUUGGGCGUAAAGAGCUCGUAGGCGGCUUGUCGCGUCGGUUGUGAAAGCCCGGGGCUUAACCCCGGGGUCUGCAGUCGAUACGGGCAGGCUAGAGUUCGGUAGGGGAGAUCGGAAUUCCUGGUGUAGCGGUGAAAUGCGCAGAUAUCAGGAGGAACACCGGUGGCGAAGGCGGAUCUCUGGGCCGAUACUGACGCUGAGGAGCGAAAGCGUGGGGAGCGAACAGGAUUAGAUACCCUGGUAGUCCACGCCGUAAACGGUGGGCACUAGGUGUGGGCAACAUUCCACGUUGUCCGUGCCGCAGCUAACGCAUUAAGUGCCCCGCCUGGGGAGUACGGCCGCAAGGCUAAAACUCAAAGGAAUUGACGGGGGCCCGCACAAUCGGCGGAGCAUGUGGCUUAAUUCGACGCAACGCGAAGAACCUUACCAAGGCUUGACAUACACCGGAAACCCUUCAGAGAUCAGGUUCCCCCUUGUGGUCGGUGUACAGGUGGUGCAUGGCUGUCGUCAGCUCGUGUCGUGAGAUGUUGGGUUAAGUCCUGCAAUCGAGCGCAGCCCUUGUCCCGUGUUGCCAGCGGGCCCUUGUGGUGCUGGGGACUCUCGGGAUACCGCCGGGGUCCACUCCGGAGGAAGGUAGGGUACGACGUCGAGUCAGUCAUGCCCCUUAUGUCUUGGGCUGCACAGGUGCUCCAAUGGCUCGGUACGAUGAGCUGCGAUACCGUGAGGUGGGAGCGAAUCUCAAAAAGCCGGUCUCAAGUUCGGAUUGGGGUCUGCAAUUCGACCCCAUGAAGUCGGAGUCGCUAGUAAUCGCAGAUCAGCAUUGCUGCGGUGAAUACGUUCCCGGGCCUUGUACACACCGCCCGUCACGUCACGAAAGUCGGUAACACCCGAAGCCGGUGGCCCAACCCUCAUGGG
rnacentral:rRNA from 1 species